CAUGGAGCCGACCUUGAAAUACCACCCUUUAAUGUUUGAUGUUCUAACGUUGACCCGUGAUCCGGGUUGCGGACAGUGUCUGGUGGGUAGUUUGACUGGGGCGGUCUCCUCCUAAAGAGUAACGGAGGAGCACGAAGGUUGGCUAAUCCUGGUCGGACAUCAGGAGGUUAGUGCAAUGGCAUAAGCCAGCUUGACUGCGAGCGUGACGGCGCGAGCAGGUGCGAAAGCAGGUCAUAGUGAUCCGGUGGUUCUGAAUGGAAGGGCCAUCGCUCAACGGAUAAAAGGUACUCCGGGGAUAACAGGCUGAUACCGCCCAAGAGUUCAUAUCGACGGCGGUGUUUGGCACCUCGAUGUCGGCUCAUCACAUCCUGGGGCUGAAGUAGGUCCCAAGGGUAUGGCUGUUCGCCAUUUAAAGUGGUACGCGAGCUGGGUUUAGAACGUCGUGAGACAGUUCGGUCCCUA
rnacentral:rRNA from 1 species